GAAACAAUAUCUUCGUCAAUUCGCACCAGAGAGAGAGAGAAGAUGGCAAAGAUUGUUGGUGCUUUUAUCAGAGGCCUGAAAUCUGAAAGUAACACAAAGAAAAGUACUCUUCUUCUCUUUCCUACUGGGAGCUUUCGUUUGAUUCAGACUCACUCUAAAUCUAAAAGCCCUAAUUCUCCUCCUCCUGGAACAACUGAAGAAAAUCACCUAGUCGUUCCGAGAAAACACCGAAAUUUGGGGCCCAAUGAUGUUCAAAAUGCUGAGGAGUUCCUCAAUCGGAUGACCCAAAUGAGACGAUUUCCACCCAUUUUGCAAAUCAAUAAAGCCUUAGGGAGCAUUGCGAAAUUGGGUAAUUACAUCACGGCUAUUUCUCAUUUCGAAGAGUUGCAGUUUCUAGGCGUUCAGGUAGAUUUGUACACCCUGAACAUUGCAACUAACUGCUACUGCCACCUCAAUCGAUCUGAUUAUGGUUUCUCGCUUUUAGGCGGCCUCUUCAAACGUGGUUAUACACCUGAUGUUGUUACCUUCAACACUCUCAUAAAUGGACUUAUUAUCGAAGAUAGAACUGCUGAGGCUGUUGAGUUAUUUAAGAAAUUAGUGAGGAACAGAGAUAUUGAGCCCAACGUGGCUAUGUAUGGAGCGAUUAUUAAUGGGCUUUGCAAAAUAGGCAACACUAUCACGUCUAUUAGAUUGCUCAGGAUAAUGGAUAAGGCAAGUUGUAAACCUGACACUGUAUUGUAUUCCACGAUCAUUGACAGUCUUUGCAAGGAUGGAAUGGUUGACGAUGCUGUGAGGCUCCUUUUAGAAAUGAAGGACAGAGGUAUUCUUGCAAACGUUUUUACGUAUAACUCUUUGAUUCAUGGCCUUUGUAAUUUUGGCAAGUGGAAGGAGGCUAAAAGAAUGUUGAGAGAGAUGUUGAAUGGUGGCAUUUAUCCAGAUGUCCGUACAUUUAGUAUGUUGGUGGAUGCACAUUCCAAGGAAGGGAAGGCGAAGGAAGCAGAGGAGGUACUUGAAGUGAUGAUUGAAAGAGGUGUGGACCCUGAUGUUGUCACAUACAGUAGUUUAAUAGAUGGAUAUUGUUUGCAAGGCCAAAUGGAUGAAGCAAUGAGAGUGUUCAAUAAAAUGGUGGAGAGGGGGGUUCAGCCUAACAAUUUUGCCUAUACUAUUUUGAUCAACGGAUAUUGCAAGAAGAUGAAAAUAGACGAGGCUAUGCAGCUCUUUAGAGAAAUGCCUCAAAGGGGGUUGAAACCUGAUGUUCAAACUUUCAGUACUAUGUUACAGGGUUUGUUUCGAAUUGGUAGAUGUGCAGCAGCUCACAGACUUUUUGAUGAGAUGCAAGCUGCAGGCAUAAUUCCAAGUACUCUAACCUUUGGUAUCUUGCUGGAUGGGCUUUGCAAAAAUGGUAAUAUUGCUCUGGCAUUGUCCUUGUUUAAAACAAUGGAAGGGAACGGGUUAGAUAUUGAUGUCGUUAUGUACAAUAUCCUCAUUGAUGCAUUAUGCAAGGCUAAAAAGAUGGACCAUGCAAGGGAUCUUUUCAAUAAACUUUCUUCCCAGGGAUUACAUCCUGAUGUCAGGACAUACAGUAUCAUGAUUGGAGGUUUUUGUUAUAAAGGACUAUUGAACGAAGCUAAAGAGUUUUUUGUGGAAAUGGAACAAAAGGGUUACUUUCCAAAUGGUUGCACUUACAAUGUUAUUAUCCGAGGAUUUCUUGCGAGGAAGAAGUCCUCUGAGGCCUUGGUACUCCUCAAGGAAAUGGUUGCAAAGGGGUUUUCAGCAGAUGCAUCUACAGUUUCUUGUAUUGUGAAUCUAAGGUCAACUGAAGGACAAGAUCCUGCUCUCCAAGAAAUGAUAAAGUGGGUCAUAUCAAAGGAUUGAUAGGAAAUGCAAAGAGAUAGAAUUAGUCAUUCGGCUUCGAAGGUAAAAGUAUGUUUAUGCCAGAAAGUACAACCUAUUAUACUUUUUGAAAGUUAGUAUAGCCUAGUAAAUAAGUGUACCGUAUGAUCUAGUGGCUCUUGACUAUCAAAUUUAAAUCCAUAAACAUCUUUUUGUCCUUUCGGGAAAUCACUGAUUGAGCAUAUUUUCCCUAGACUCCACUACUUGUAUGACUUUCUAGAUUCUUUGCCUCUCUUGUUUACUAGAAGCUUCUCUUGUUUAGAUUACUGUAAGUGUAACUUUUGAACCUGCUGAUAUUUAUAGCCUAAACCGUCCAAUGGAUUAUGUAAUGCUUUGUUUGCACUCUCCUCCUUUGCAUCGAUGUGCUAGAAGUUUGUAUACAGCAACUAGCAUCUUGACCCUUUCUCCUUGCUCUCCUUAGACUAGGGAUGCAUACUUGAGUUUCAAGACUGUUCUUUUUUUUUUUUUUGCUCAGCAAGUUUCAAGACUCUUCUUUGACUACAACUUCGGCUUGAACCAUAGGUUGGAAAAGAAUUGAAUCAUACGGCCAAUUGUUUAAGUGGAGGAUGGUUUAUGUGAAUUUCUUCUGAAUUCUCUUGAUCACUAUAUUUAGUGGACACAUUACUUUUGCAAUUUGAUGAAAUUGUCAGACACUAUAAUUCUGAUUUCUAAAUGUGGUGGACUAAAGCCCAUUUCAUGCACACAUGGGCUUUUACUUCUCUUUCAUCUAUUUAGGACUUGUUGGCUGUUACUACUUAUUUAGAAAAUAGUUGGUCAAUGGUCACAGUAGACUACUAUGUCCUUGUGACUUUUUCCUCAGUCACUUUGGUUCAUUGGAAUUUACAUGUUGCAGAGUCUAGUAUAUCGUUUUGAUGUUUUGUCUAGUGACUCUAGUGCUAUGGCCAUUUCCCUGUGAUUUUGGUAUAUAUCUCCAUGUAGAAUUGCUUUCUUUAUGCACGAUGAGAGUAUCAUAUUCAUUUAUAUUGCCUCACUUUUGUUUUUUUGUUACUUUUUGAUAACUGACAUACAUGGAUAUACACCCUCCAAAUUGUUUGACCUUAUUGAAGUUUUCAGAAUGUUCAAGGAGCAAGUCUUAUAUCAGGUAUUUAUGAUGCUUUAAGCAUUUAGUCUGCCACGUUUUUAGCAAUUCAACUCGCAUGUAGUUUCACGUGUAUCUUUUGCACUUUACUGCAGUAUUAUCCAAGAUGCUUUUUUCUUUUUUUGAGAUGAUUAUGCAAGAUGCUUGACAUGGUGAAACAUAGCAACUUUUAAAGGUUUGCAUACAAUAGUAGAUGAUUCAAGGUCUUUGUGAACAUCCUACUGGGAGAAGAUGAAGUUAUGUUGUGAAAAUGGAUUAAAAUUGGGUCCCUAAUAACCUUGUUAUUCAAGCUGCAGCUGGAUUCGAAUUUUGACACAGUUGAACACCCCAACCUUUGAACUGCUCAGUUAUGAUGGUGGCCGACUAAAUAGCUCCAGAUACGCAAUUGUUUUUGGGUGGUGGGGUGCAUUAUUUUUUUCCUGUUCUUUUUUAAUGCCAGAAGUUGAAACUGUAAUUUCUGUUGGAUGAGUAUAGCACCAAGGGGUGAUGCAAUGGUGUGGCUUUUUCCUCCAAAUGGUUGUCAAUUUUCUGAAAUGCAUUCAAAACUGAAGUAUUGCUGAGAUGGUGUUGCUCUAGUUUCUGUUAGAUGUUGUGUUUUUCUUAGUUGCUCAUCGGCUAGAGUAUGGCUAAUUUUCUAAUUGAAUCUUUGCACCUUGCUUCUGCAAUUGCAAUUUCCAAAUUGGAAUUCGGAAAUUGAUGGAACAUAGUAUAGGAUGGUAGGAUGCAAGUGGAUUGCUCUGCUGCAGUUACAUUUAGUUUGAUACCAAAGAGAUUUGACUUUUCAAUCACAGAGAGGGUUUGUAGGUGACAAGCCUUUUCUCUGCUAUGGAAAUGCAAACAGCUUUGUUCCAAAUGGGAAGAUGGAUAUUGCCUGGACCGAGUGGUGGGAUUCCAGCAGCUUUGACCCAUAAAGUCCUAGAUUUUGUUCCUAAAAAGAAGACAGGUCGAAAAUCAUUUUUGGCUUUGGAACUUUAUACAUGAAUAAACCUUACGCCAGAGUCAAUUUGGGAAGAAUAUAUCUUAGCAGCCCAGGCCCUCUCCUCCUCGAUCUCUUUCCAACAUGGGAUACAUGACUAUUUGUAAAGGGAUUGCAAUCUGUCAAGUUGCCCCUCUGAAGUCACAUCUACUCUGUGCUGAUGAUUGUUUUGUGUUUCUUGAAUUCAACUUAGAGCAUUUGUGGCGCGGCUGGUGCUUCAAAUGGUUGCUGGAAGCUUAUUGCAACUUCUGAAGGUUUUUGAGUUGCUGCAAAUCCAUGAUUUGUUUCUAAGGUUUUACAAAAAACAUGGAAAAGAGUGGAAAUGAUGUUAUUUGCUUGACUUGGAGAGGGCGUUCCGCGUUACUUUAGAAAGUUGAGCUAACAAGUUCUCGGAGGAGAACCGAAGGACUGGAAAGCAUAGGUGGUUUAUAAGUGCCAGAGUUUUUACAUUCUCGUCGUAAGUCUGUACUGUAGAAUUGGAUAUAGCUGCAGAAAUUACAUGGCUUUGUUGGAAUUAUAACCCUUCCUCGGGCUGGCAAGGUUUGACCUACAUAUUUGUAUUUUGUUCAAAACUAACACAUAUUACGGGGUUUUGACGUUUAGGCUUUACCCACGCCUAUAGGUGCAGGGCAUUUGUUGAAGGGCCCAGAUACUAACCAUAGAUUGGAGAGUUGAGUUCUGACCACAGGUUUGGUUCUGCGAACCACAAAGGGGAGAGAUGGACUUUGGAAAUGAGGUAAAUGGCAAACUCAAGUUUCUGAAAACAAGACCUGACGUUUCUGAAAUUACAAAUAGGAUUCUGAUGAAAGAUAUCCCAAUCGAUCAUUUCAACUGCUUCAAUAUUUGGACUGAGUAGGAGAAGUUGGCAUAGGGCUGAGGACCAGAACAUUGAGAGUGUCACACAAGAAGAAGAAACCCUAUGGUCCAUCAAUUUAAAGAUGUGGAGCAGAAGAGGGAGCAUCACCCCUCUUCAGAGAUAAAAGUGGAAAAGGAAUUGGGUGUCGAUAAAUUAGCAGUACCCACGAGUUUUAACGAGCCAAAUCAAGCGUGGAAUGAGAGAGAGAUUUUGGAGAGACUUGAUUCCGAUGCCCAGAAGUUGAACACCCUUCAGAUCACUGUGGAAUAACGGAGAAGGAAAUUGGUAACAGGCAAGAAGAAGAAGAAAAGGUCAAAGAGUGUCAAUUUUGAGACAUUUAAGGAACAGUUGGAAGAAGUUGAGGAAACGAUUCUACAGCUGGCGGAGGUGAAGAGUCAUUGGACGAGGAAAAUCGAAGUGGGUCCAUUACAGAUGGACAGUAAGGCUCUUCUGCCUGAGAUGGAAGAGUGUGUCUGAAAAAAUUGAAGCGGGUCUGAAAAAAUCGGACGUUGCAGUUUGAGGUUCAGAAAAUCCAGCAUGUGCUGUUGAAGUUAGGGAAGUUCUGAUUAUCCAGGAGCGGAACGAGCAUUACACUGAAGAACUUCAUCUACAAUGCAGGAAAGCGUAGCCCAAGAUGGAGAAAGGGUUCUCUUUGCAAGGGUGCAGACAUUCAAGUCAUGGUGAUGGUAACAAUAUUAAUGUGUUUCACUAGAUUAGCUACAUAGAAUCGGUAAAACUCUCUGAAAUGUUCCUUGUACAAAGCUGUUUUAGUUUAUCGCGUCCUAAUUUUUUGACGCAAAUUUUUAGAUAAUUUACAGGCCAUGUUUGGCCAAGCGACACUCAAUGGGUCUCUACAUCUUCAUGUCAAAUGAGUUCAUAACUUUCUCAAAUGCCUUUCGGAAUGUGGCAAUACCUAUUAGAAGUUUUAGAUUGCCUAUUCUCCUACUUUUGAAAGUCUGGCUUUGAGCAUUGUGUUCUCACAUUCCAGAUACUAUUUUGUUGGUUGAACUCAUAUCAUCGAAUCUUCAGGCACUGGAAAUCUAUUGUCUCGAAAAUUCAUUAUUGUCGGGUACUUUCAAUGAAUCCACCUCGAAACAAUGUACAUCAAUUAUGGCGUCAUGUCCCCCGCGAGCUCCUCUGAUUACUCGUAUCUGUGGAACCUCAGAAAUUAAGCUCAUUAGUUUGAAGAGGUGGAUAUGUUCAAGGUGUUUCUUUUUUUCUUGAUUGUGGAUACAUUCGAGUUAAGAACACCAGAAAUGGAUUGGAUGUAGUUUGAAUCUUAUAACUACUUCUAAAGGUCUACAUAAACCAUUUGAUCAUUCAAGGUCACUUAUAAACUUGUUAUUCAAGCAGCAGCUUUCAAUCUUCACACGGUCAGACACCAAUGGGGGUUGCAAGGGUGUGGCAAAUGGUUGUCAAUUUUCAGAAAUUCAUUCUAAGCUCAAAUGUUGCUGAUGCUUUUGCUGUCUGAGAUGGGGUUAUUUUCCUAGUUGCUCAUGGGCUAAUUUCCAAAUCGAAUUUUCGUAGUUGCAAAUAUCAUUUCCAAAUUGGAAUGGGGACACAUUAUUGCAAUACGCUAGAGGAUGGUUGGAUGCUAGUAGCAAGGUUUUCGAUCCCAUACCGGCAAUGGCCAGUACAUACGGUUUUUGUGAGUAUCCGGUGCCCUGCUACCCAAAUUCCAUCCCGGCUUCAAUGCCAGUGCUUACUGGAGAGUACCGCCUGUUGCAAUAGAUUUUAGGUGAGAUGGUGGUUAUUCUGAUUUCAUCCGGUAUUUCACAUAGUCUGAUACUCAACUUGUUAACUGUUAUAGCCCUAAAUCGCGUAUUACUGUAGUUUAUUCUGCUCAGCCAUUGCCAGAAUUCCACGGCAAUUGCAAGGGCAGGUUAUCUAUGCUUCAGAGGCCUACAGUUCUCAUAGGAACUGAAAAGAGUAUUUUGACUGGAAAUUCCUUUUUGUGCAUGGGUAUGUAAGGAUGGCAUAUGGUAUGUGAGGACGGUAUUAAAACAGUAUCCAAAUCGAACUGGAGCUGGUUUAAUAGUAAAAGGAAUUGAAUCCUCUCGAGCAGAUAAGGUCCCAGUUCAAUUUGGGCCUUGUUCUAGCCAACAUUGAUGCUCGGAACCGUUCGGUUUUUAGCGUUCAAGUGAGAUUGGCAGCAAAUAUUGUGCUCUGUUGAGCCAAAAACGUAAACACUAUUUUACUAGUAGUGUGAGGCUUCUAUGUUAGUUUGUGCUUUGAAAUGUGUUUGAACUUGGAUGAUCAAGAACCUUUUACAAUUAUCUAUUUCAGGCUACUGUUAUAAUUU